UAACUACGUGCCAGCAGCCGCGGUAAUACGUAGGUGGCGAGCGUUAUCCGGAAUGAUUGGGCGUAAAGGGUGCGUAGGUGGCAGAUCAAGUCUGGAGUAAAAGGUAUGGGCUCAACCCGUACUGGCUCUGGAAACUGAUCAGCUAGAGAACAGAAGAGGACGGCGGAACUCCAUGUGUAGCGGUAAAAUGCGUAGAUAUAUGGAAGAACACCGGUGGCGAAGGCGGCCGUCUGGUCUGGAUUCUGACACUGAAGCACGAAAGCGUGGGGAGCAAAUAGGAUUAGAUACCCUAGUAGUCCACGCCGUAAACGAUGAGAACUAGGUGUUGGGGGAAUAACUCAGUGCCGCAGUUAACGCAGUAAGUUCUCCGCCUGGGGAGUAUGCACGCAAGUGUGAAACUCAAAGGAAUUGACGGGGGCCCGCACAAGCGGUGGAGUAUGUGGUUUAAUUCGAAGCAACGCGAAGAACCUUACCAGGCCUUGACAUCCCUUGCAGAGGUAUAGAGAUAUAUCCGAGGUUAUCAAGGAGACAGGUGGUGCAUGGUUGUCGUCAGCUCGUGUCGUGAGAUGUUGGGUUAAGUCCCGCAACGAGCGCAACCCUUGUGAUAUGUUACUAACAUUGAGUUGAGGACUCAUAUCAGACUGCCGGUGAUAAACCGGAGGAAGGUGGGGAUGACGUCAAAUCAUCAUGCCCCUUAUGGCCUGGGCUACACACGUACUACAAUGGCGUCUACAAAGAGCGGCAAGCCUGUGAAGGCAAGCGAAUCUCAUAAAGGACGUCUCAGUUCGGAUUGAAGUCUGCAACCCGACUUCAUGAAGCUGGAAUCGCUAGUAAUCGCGAAUCAGCAUGUCGCGGUGAAUACGUUCUCGGGCCUUGUACACACCGCCCGUCAAACCAUGGGAGUUGGUAAUGCCCGAAGCCGGUGGCAUAACCCUUCGGGGAGUGAGCCGUCGAAGGCAGGACCGAUGACUGGGGUUAAGUCGUAACAAGGUAUCCCUACGGGAACGUGGGGAUG
rnacentral:rRNA from 1 species